AUGUCACGAACGUANCGGUUAGGCCCUAAACCCGCAAAAGGGGGGAGGGCGGUACCCUACGGUAGUGGUUNAGUGAUUGGGGUG
rnacentral:rRNA from 1 species